AUUGAACGCUGGCGGCAGGCUUAACACAUGCAAGUCGAGCGGGGUGAUGGUGCUUGCACUAUCACCUAGCGGCGGACGGGUGAGUAAUGCUUAGGAAUCUGCCUAUUAGUGGGGGGCAACAUUUCGAAAGGAAUGCUAAUACCGCAUACGUCCUACGGGAGAAAGCAGGGGAUCUUCGGACCUUGCGCUAAUAGAUGAGCCUAAGUCGGAUUAGCUAGUUGGUGGGGUAAAGGCCUACCAAGGCGACGAUCUGUAGCGGGUCUGAGAGGAUGAUCCGCCACACUGGGACUGAGACACGGCCCAGACUCCUACGGGAGGCAGCAGUGGGGAAUAUUGGACAAUGGGCGCAAGCCUGAUCCAGCCAUGCCGCGUGUGUGAAGAAGGCCUUAUGGUUGUAAAGCACUAUAAGCGAGGAGGAGGCUACUUUAGAUAAUACCUAGAGAUAGUGGACGUUACUCGCAGAAUAAGCACCGGCUAACUCUGUGCCAGCCGCCGCGGUAACAC
rnacentral:rRNA from 1 species